GGGCGUAUAGCUCAGUGGUAGAGCGCCCGCUUUGCAUCUUACAAGCGCUGCGGGAGGUCUGGAGUUCGAUCCUCCAUUCGUCCA